rnacentral:rRNA from 1 species
UACGGAGGGUCCAAGCGUUAUCCGGAAUCAUUGGGCUUAAAGGGUCCGUAGGCGGCCCAGUAAGUCAGUGGUGAAAUCUCCCCGCUCAACGGGGAAACGGCCAUUGAUACUGCUCGACUAGAGUGCGGAAGGGGCAACUGGAAUUCUUGGUGUAGCGGUGAAAUGCGUAGAUAUCAAGAGGAACACCGGCGGCGAAGGCGGGUUGCUGGGCCGACACUGACGCUGAAGCGCGAAAGCUAGGGGAGCGAACGGG